ensembl:lncRNA
UGGGUGUGUUGUGGUGGGAAGGGCAGGAAUCAAAUGCAGGUGGAGCUAAUGAGGUGUUAAUUGGGCCUUGCCCACAGUUUCGUUUGUUUGGAGGGACACUGCCCAAGAUGGCUGCCCUGUGGAGAGAGAGGGAGAUGAAGCAUGAAAAAAUAAAGUAGCAGCUGUAAAAAAUAAAGUAGCAUGGAAGUUUGAACAUUUUUUUUUAUUUUCAUAUUGGACUGGCCAUUUCGGAUUUAUGUUUGGACCUUUCCCUAAAUGGAGUACUCUACGUUUCCAGAUGAAUUAUCAGACUAUCGUGUUUAAUGGACUGAAGUUUCAUCCUGGACAUUGGGAUUCGAAGGCCGGAAAAAAUUGCAGACGAGGACACUGUUCAAUGACAGCGGGACACAGCGGAAACACAUCAAAGCAAACGGAUGGAGAAAUCCAAGCUUCAAUGUGGAAUCGACAACCAUGGUGUGUCUCUGAUUUGGGAGGAUGGAGGCGCCAACAGAGGCUAUUUUACUGCUGUUCUUGCAAGAGGCCUGUAAAAAGUGCAGGGUUUUGUCAUUUGUCUGCACUACUACAACACACAACUUUUACGAGCUGGGAAAGACAGGCGCCGGCCUGUGUAUCGCCUCUGGAGGAGAGGGAGAGACGACAAGCCAACACCAGGACAAGACGUUCUGAUUGGUGACUGAAGACAGAGGGUCUGAGUGGUGACUGAAGACAGAGGGUCAGUGCGGCCAGCUGCCAGACUAGAAGCUCCACAGCACUUGGAUCAGGACGACGGUCUACGGUCCAACAUGCUGCCACGAGGGGGGUGAUUCCAAUGGGGAAGCGGUGUGGCCCACCACGCCAGACGGUACCAUCAAGGCUACUCCUGAUGGCGGGGACACAGUGGGAGGAACAUGGGGGGGGGGGGGGGGGUACCUCCUCACAGCCGGCGAGGAGAACCCACGCCAUCUCUGUGGUGACGCGUCCUCCACGUUGUGCGAGAAACGGCCUGAAGAGGGCUCGGACAUGGGCAGUUGGAGAAAGGGUGGAGGAGGAGUUUUUCCCCGAGACGAGGCUGUCUUGACGCCACUCAUUUUUGUCGGAGGUGUCGGCGAUGACCUGGACCCAUCUGGCCGAUCAGAUGCUCGAGUUCGACCGUGCUGAAGUCCAGCGUUGAGGAACCCGCGAUGCUUCGGUUCACUCCCUGCUGCGUCAGCCCCACCCAGGAUUCAACGUUCCCGAAGCUCCGUCACACCAACAGGGAGCGGGAUUGUCGAACUCUUUUGAGAUUGCCGAUUACUUUGUUUGAAUAUUUUGCCCUUUGUAUUCUGUUUUAAUUGUUUGACUUUUUAUGCAGUUUCAGUUGUAUAAAUUGAAUUUGUAAAAGUCUGUAUGAUCAAUAAAAAGAAUUGCCAAAGAAAUAUGAGCCUUGUGUGAGUCCCUGUCUGGCCCUUUAUUUGUUUUUAUAGUUUUCAUUUUAAAGUGCAGUUCAAUAACGACAAAGUUGACAAAUCGAUAGCGCUAAUAAGGACGACUGCAAAAUCAACCCAGCUGUCAGCUGGAACACAAACACCUAAACACACACAAUACGCACACCGGGCUGCUGCCUUGCUGAAGAG